GAUGAACGCUGGCGGCGUGCUUAACACAUGCAAGUCGAACGGAAAGGCCCAAGCUUGCUUGGGUGCUCGAGUGGCGAACGGGUGAGUAACACGUGGGUGAUCUGCCCUGCACUUUGGGAUAAGCCUGGGAAACUGGGUCUAAUACCGGAUAGGACCAUCGUUUAGUGUCGGUGGUGGAAAGUUUUUCGGUGUGGGAUGAGCUCGCGGCCUAUCAGCUUGUUGGUGGGGUAAUGGCCUACCAAGGCGUCGACGGGUAGCCGGCCUGAGAGGGUGUACGGCCACAUUGGGACUGAGAGACGGCCCAGACUCCUACGGGAGGCGGCAGUGGGGAAUAUUGCACAAUGAGCGCAAGCCUGAUGCAGCGACGCCGCGUGGGGGAUGACGGCCUUCGGGUUGUAAACUCCUUUCGCCAAGGACGAAGCGUUUUGUGACGGUACUUGGAGAAGAAGCACCGGCUAACUACGUG
rnacentral:rRNA from 1 species